rfam:Rattus norvegicus chromosome 17, whole genome shotgun sequence.
UAGGGAGGUCAGGGCCAGGAGCCCCCCCCCCCCUGAGCCCAGGGUAACGCUUAAAGUUGGGGGGCA